rnacentral:rRNA from 1 species
UACGUAGGGUGCGAGCGUUAAUCGGAAUUACUGGGCGUAAAGCGUGCGUAGGCGGUUCGUUGUGUCUGUGGUGAAAGCCCCCGGGCUUAACCUGGGAAUGGCCAUGGAAACUGGCGAGCUGGAGUGUGGCAGAGGGGGGUGGAAUUCCGCGUGUAGCAGUGAAAUGCGUAGAGAUGCGGAGGAACACCGAUGGCGAAGGCAGCCCCCUGGGCUAACACUGACGCUGAGGCACGAAAGCCAGGGAGCAAACGGG